CAGCNUCCUGGGAUAACACUGACGUUCAUGCCCGAAAGCGUGGGUAGCAANCAGGAUUAGAUACCCUGGUAGUCCACGCCCUAAACGAUGUCGAUUAGCUGUUGGGCAGCAUGACAGCUUAGUAGCGAAGCUAACGCGUGAAAUCGACCGCCUGGGGAGUACGGUCGCAAGAUUAAAACUCAAAGGAAUUGACGGGGACCCGCACAAGCGGUGGAUGAUGUGGAUUAAUUCGAUGCAACGCGAAGAACCUUACCUGGUCUUGACAUGUACGGAACCCUCCAGAGACGGAGGAGUGCCUUCGGGAGCCGUAACACAGGUGCUGCAUGGCUGUCGUCAGCUCGUGUCGUGAGAUGUUGGGUUAAGUCCNNCAACGAGCGCAACCCUUGUCAUUAGUUGCCAUCAUUAAGUUGGGCGCUCUAAUGAGACUGCCGGUGACAAGCCGGAGGAAGGUGGGGAUGACGUCAAGUCCUCAUGGCCCUUAUGACCAGGGCUUCACACGUCAUACAAUGGUCGGUACAGAGGGUAGCCAAGCCGCGAGGCGGAGCCAAUCUCACAAAACCGAUCGUAGUCCGGAUUGCACUCUGCAA
rnacentral:rRNA from 1 species